rnacentral:rRNA from 1 species
AACGAAUGCUGGCGGCAGGCCUAACACAUGCAAGUCGAACGAACUCUUCGGAGUGAGUGGCAGACGGGUUAGUAACACGUGGGAACCUACCCUUUAGUUCGGAAUAACGUCGAGAAAUCGUCGCUAAUACCGUAUACGCCCUUCGGGGGAAAGAUUUAUCGCUAAAGGAUGGGCCCGCGGCAGAUUAGGUAGUUGGUGGGGUAAUGGCCUACCAAGCCGACGAUCUGUAGCUGGUUUGAGAGGAUGAUCAGCAACACUGGAACUGAGACACGGUCCAGACUCCUACGGGAGGCAGCAGUGGGGAAUAUUCGGCAAUGGGCGAAAGCCUGACCGAGCCAUGCCGCGUGAGUGAUGAAGGCCUUAGGGUUGUAAAACUCUUUCGCCGGUGAAGAUAAUGACGGUAACCGGUAAAGAAGCCCCGGCUAAUUUCG